rnacentral:rRNA from 1 species
CCCUUAGAUGUUCUGGGCCGCACGCGCGCUACACUGACGAAUGCAACGAGCUUAUAACCUUGGCCGAAAGGUCUGGGUAAUCUCCAAAUUUCGUCGUGAUGGGGAUAGAUUAUUGCAAUUAUUAAUCUUCAACGAGGAAUUCCUAGUAAGCGCGAGUCAUCAGCUCGUGCUGAUUACGUCCCUGCCCUUUGUACACACCGCCCGUCGCUCCUACCGAUUGAGUGCUCAGGUGAAUAAUUCGGACUGCAGCAGUGUUUGGAUCCCGAACGCUGCAGCGGAAAGUUUAGUGAACCUUAUCACUUAGAGGAAGGAGAAGUCGUAACA